rnacentral:rRNA from 1 species
CCUACGGGGCGCAGCAGUGGGGAAUAUUGCACAAUGGGGGAAACCCUGAUGCAGCGACGCCGCGUGAGUGAAGAAGUAAUUCGUUAUGUAAAGCUCUAUCUGCAGGGAAGAAAAUGACGGUACCUGAGUCAGAAGCCCCGGCUAACUAAGUGCAAGCAGCCGCGGCAAUACGUCGGGGGCAAGCGUUAUCCGGAUUUAAUGGGUGUAAAGGGAGCGGAGACGGCAGUGCAAGUCUGGAGUGAAAGGCGGGGGCGCAACCCCCGGACUGCUCUGGAAACUGUACGGCUGGAGUGCAGGAGAGGUAAGUGGAAUUCCUAGUGUAGCGGUGAAAUGCAGAGAUAUUAGGAGGAACACCAGUGGCGAAGGCGGCUUACUGGACUGUAACUGACGUUGAUGCUCGAAAGCGUGGGGAUCAAACAGGAUUAGAUACCCCAGUAGUC